AGUAGGGCAUUGUCUUAACUAUCUCAGGAAUUUCAGGUUCUGGGUGUAGCAGAGGAACUUAAUAAUACCUAGUCUUUUACAUUCAAGCUUUCCAGCUUAGAAACUUUACCCUUUCAAAAUAACCUGAAACACCCUUAAAUUAAUUAUAGUCAGUUUAAUAUAUAUAAAUCUCUUUUUCAAUUGUUCUAACUUUUUAUAUCAACUGUUUAGAUAACAAUAUAAAAAUCUUUUUUACUUGGGAAAAUUAAUAUAAAGACCUUGUUUUACCCAAAGAUGAUUUCUUUCUUCUUUUUAGGAUCCAUGUGUGCUUUUUCAUUGUUGAAGCAUCUUUUUCUUUUAGAAAAAAAAAAAUUUUUUUUUAUACUUUGGAACAAUUUCUGAAAACCUUAGACUCCAUAAACAAAUUAUUAUACUUUGAUAAGAAAUAUCAAUGAAAAUAGUUAAAACCCUUAGAUAUUUUGUAGAAAUAAUUAUAAUAAUUUAUCAUCUUAUGAGUUUAAACAGUAACUUUGAGAAUUAGAAACUACUUGAUUGUAUUUUCACUUAAAAGCAAAUUUAUAGUAAACACAUUUAUCUCAAAUAUCUGUAACUGAAAAGGCAGAGUAUCUGAUAAAUGUAAAUAUAAAACAUAAAUUAUGGGUUUUCUGUUGAAGAAAAACAAUUAGGCAAAUAUAUAUUAACUAAUCAAUUAAGCAUGUGCUAAUUAAUUUAUAGAUUAACAAAUGUAGGUUAUCUAAAUAUCUAAAAAAAUAUAUAUUAUGAAUAAGAACAUAACUUAUAAUUGUAUUAACUUUAUGUAACCACGUGGUCUUAAAUAUUUGGAUCCAUUUUAAUUUAUUUUUAACUAGGAGUGCACUCUUCUAUAUGACGUUACUUGAUAUAACUGAAAUAAGUUCCUUUUUUUUUAAUAUUUAUUUUUUAGUUUUCGGCGGACACAACAUCUUUGUUUGUAUGUGGUGCCGAGGAUCAAACCUGGGCUGAACGCAUGCUAGGCGAGUACGCUACCGCUUGAGCCACAUUCCCAGUCCUGAAAUAAGAUCCUUGAGUAUACAUUUUUAUUUUCAAAGUUAGCAAUGAGAAUAAGGAUUUUUUGGUCAUCAUAGGAACUUUGCUGGCUUGUUCCUGUGGCAAGCAAAUGCAUCCUCAUAACCUCCAAAAUCAAAAGUAAAAUAUAAAGAAGCAUAUUUGAUAUCUCUCAUCAAUAUAACAUUAUUUAGUUACACAACUAUAGAGAAAACUUAGGUUAUUUAACUUAGAACUAACUUAAAUUUAGGACCUGUGGAAUUAAAUUUUGUCUGAAAAAGAUAUCUUUCGUUAGCAUUUACAGGUAGGCAUUUUUUUUUUUUUUAAAUACAGGCUCUGAGCAGCUCUGGUAGAAAUCUGAAACACAGUAGUACAGAUUAGUGGCUGGAAGGCGGGACUAGAAGUCCUGUCUGAGUGACUGUGGAAGAACCAAUAGGAAGCCCGCAAAAGUGUGGGAGGUGGGACCAGGAAGCCGCUCUUCUGGCCAGGCACCCCAUGGUUACCAUGGUGAUGCAAACAACAUGAAGUCUGCUGCCCAUUUUCGGGUCAAAAGUUCCCCAAGUUUUCCUAGCCGAUUGCAUUUUGUUUGAUUUUGUCUGCAUUUUUCCCCGCCUGGCCAAGAUCUUAGUGCGGUAGCAGCUUGUUCUCUCUCUGUGACCUGCAGUUGCAGCUCGUGUACAUCCUGCACUUUCUGGCGUUCCCUUGGUUACGCCGUGGGAAGCCGGUGUUCAGAUUGACCUGGGCUAGCUCGCGACACUUCUCUUGAUUUUCACUUUUCCACAACAAAAAAUCCCCUCCGGACAACAUAGCCCUGAAAAGCUGUUGCCAAUCACUGUUAUUGAGAAAGCCUCCUGUCAGAAACCAAGGACAAGCCCGGGCUAUAGUUUCAACGAAUUCGGUUACUGUCUUGGUUUUUAUUCCUGUUCCUUAGUUGCUUAACAGCUCUUUAACCUCGCUGGCCAGACGAAGUUUCACUGUUGAGUUACCCAUGGUACGUACCCUGUCUCUUUUGAAUUAUCUUUGAUCCAAUCCUCCCCCUUCUACCUUAGAAGGUGAGCCCCAUCCGCUUACCUCUGCUUUCCGGAACUUGGUGGGAACCUCCACUUGCUGCAUCCGGCUAACAGGGCCGUGUCCAGCGAGAGACGGUGGAGUUAAGAAAUACACAGGACACCAAGGUUCUUCAUCCAGGAGGAGGCGUGUGCGCCUUUAUUGCCAAAGUUUGUUCCCUUAUAUAUCUUUUUUAACAGCUGCGGGAAAUUACUCAAAAGCAAGGAGGGGGCAUAGGGAUGUAGCUCAAGCGGUAGCGCGCUCACCUAGCAUGCGUGCGGCCCGGGUUCGAUCCUCAGCACCACAUACAAACGAAGAUGUUGUGUCCGCUGAGAACUAAGAAAAAAUUAAAAAAUGUUAAAAUUCCCUCUCUCUCUCUCUCUGUCCCCCUCUCUCUCCCACUCUCUCUUUAAAAAAAAAAAAAAGCGAGGAGGGAAGAGUAGUAACUGCGUCCUUGGGUCACACCAC